GUAUGCUUUUUUCUUUUUGCACUGCAGGUGAGAGAUGAACUCCUGCAGAUUACGCUAUUCGUAAAUUAUUUAUGAAAGUAAGCCACUGAAAAAUAGUUAUGAUGUAUUUUUUGUACAAAUCUUUUCAUUCCACAAUGCAGGGCAACUGGAUCAAGUAGCAACUUAGAUCUUCCGGUCAUAUAACCCAGUAUGUUGUUGGAUUCGUUUCGUUUUUCAUGUGGAUUUUGCUUUCAGAUCCGUUCUCAAGCAAGUCUCAAUCCCUAAUAUAGGAUAUCCAAUUGUGUGAGAUAUACAUUUUGGUUAUUUUUCUGUUCUAAACAAACCCCUAUUUGUCAAACACAGGUUACAGAGAUGUGCUUGGGCAUAAAUAUAGUGCAAGGUGAAUUUUGGUAGGACACUUUGAAUUGAUAAUGCAUGUUAUGAUUGCAGCUAAAUAAAAGUACUACCUCCGUUUCAAAAUAAUAGGCAGUGAUUCCUAAGUCGUCAUUGAUGAUGGAUUUUUGGCUUUCCGGAUGCGUUUGAUUCCAGUUACACCUCAAUGCCUUAUACCUUCUUGGAAGACUUGCAAAUCAAACUGAUAGUGGUUGUCACACUGUUCUCUUCUACAUUGAGCUGCGAAAAGAUUACUGAAGAGGAUGGAAUACAACUAUUAGCAGAAGAAUGAGUACUGUACUAUUGUUAACCUCCGUGAAGCAGAUGCGUGCACUUUUCUGCAUGUAGCUGUUGAAGGUAAAGGCAAUACUUCCUUUUUUCCAUUUGUUAUUCGGUUCUUACCCAAGACCCAGGAUACACUUGAGUCAUAAUCAAUUGGAAAUCAGUAGGUUAGGCAUGAAAUUUCCAUCCAAGAUAUUCACAACUAGGAAAGAAAAAAAAAGGUCCUAACAUGGGUUUCUCCUUACUUAAGAUCUCUAAAUGAAAAUAGUAUCCAAUCAACCAAUUUAUUAGGGUAGGCAGUCGUCUUAUUAUACCAUUAUCAAUGUUAUUUAUGCCUACGAAACUAGAUGACAGUAGUACACAGUUUUACUGGAUUUUGAAAAGCCAUAAAUUUUGUGGUGCAUCCAGAUGGAUGACAAACUCUGAA